UACGUAGGGGGCAAGCGUUGUCCGGAUUUAUUGGGCGUAAAGAGCGUGUAGGCGGCCAUACAGGUCCGUUGUGAAAACUGGAGGCUUAACCUCGAGACGCCGGUGGAAACUGCAAAGCUAGAGUCCGGAAGAGGAGAGUGGAAUUCCUGGUGUAGCGGUGAAAUGCGCAGAUAUCAGGAAGAACACCCGUGGCGAAGGCGGCUCUCUGGGACGGUACUGACGCUGAGACGCGAAAGCGUGGGGAGCGAACAGG
rnacentral:rRNA from 1 species